rnacentral:rRNA from 1 species
AAGACCUUGCACUUUUGGAGCGGCCGAUGUCUGAUUAGCUAGUUGGUGGGGUAAUGGCCUACCAAAGCUUCGAUCAGUAGCUGGUCUGAGAGGACGGCCAGCCACACUGGGACUGAGACACGGCCCAGACUCCUACGGGAGGCAGCAGUGGGGAAUUUUGGACAAUGGGCGCAAGCCUGAUCCAGCCAUGCCGCGUGAGUGAAGAAGGCCUUCGGGUUGUAAAGCUCUCUCAGCCGGGAAGAAAAGGUUGCGACUAAUAAUCGCAAUUCAUGACGGUACCGAAAGAAGAAGCACCGGCUAACUACGUGCCAGCAGCCGCGGUAAUACGUAGGGUGCGAGCGUUAAUCGGAAUUACUGGGCGUAAAGGGUGCGCAGGCGGUUUUGUAAGUCAGAUGUGAAAUCCCCGGGCUUAACCUGGGAACU